ensembl:snoRNA
AAGACUAUACUUUCAGGGAUCAUUUCUAUAGUUAGUUACUAGAGAAGUUUCUCUGAACGUGUAGAGUACCCGAAACCACGAGGAGGAGGUACAGUGUCCCUUCCUGAGCGUGAAGCUGACUUUGGGCAUUGUUUCAUGCAGCUGCCUUUUGUCAUUGAUGAUCAUUCUUCUUCUCUUUCUAGGGGAGGAAGAGGGAAGGGAUGCCGUCUGAGUGGUU